GACGAACGCUGGCGGCGUGCCUAAUACAUGCAAGUCGAACGAACUCUGGUAUUGAUUGGUGCUUGCAUCAUGAUUUACAUUUGAGUGAGUGGCGAACUGGUGAGUAACACGUGGGAAACCUGCCCAGAAGCGGGGGAUAACACCUGGAAACAGAUGCUAAUACCGCAUAACAACUUGGACCGCAUGGUCCGAGUUUGAAAGAUGGCUUCGGCUAUCACUUUUGGAUGGUCCCGCGGCGUAUUAGCUAGAUGGUGGGGUAACGGCUCACCAUGGCAAUGAUACGUAGCCGACCUGAGAGGGUAAUCGGCCACAUUGGGACUGAGACACGGCCCAAACUCCUACGGGAGGCAGCAGUAGGGAAUCUUCCACAAUGGACGAAAGUCUGAUGGAGCAACGCCGCGUGAGUGAAGAAGGGUUUCGGCUCGUAAAACUCUGUUGUUAAAGAAGAACAUAUCUGAGAGUAACUGUUCAAGUAUUGACGGUAUUUAACCAGAAAGCCACGGCUAACUACGUGCCAGCAGCCGCGGUAAUACGUAGGUGGCAAGCGUUGUCCGGAUUUAUUGGGCGUAAAGCGAGCGCAGGCGGUUUUUUAAGUCUGAUGUGAAAGCCUUCGGCUCAACCGAAGAAGUGCAUCGGAAACUGGGAAACUUGAGUGCAGAAGAGGACAGUGGAACUCCAUGUGUAGCGGUGAAAUGCGUAGAUAUAUGGAAGAACACCAGUGGCGAAGGCGGCUGUCUGGUCUGUAACUGACGCUGAGGCUCGAAAGUAUGGGUAGCAAACAGGAUUAGAUACCCUGGUAGUCCAUACCGUAAACGAUGAAUGCUAAGUGUUGGAGGGUUUCCGCCCUUCAGUGCUGCAGCUAACGCAUUAAGCAUUCCGCCUGGGGAGUACGGCCGCAAGGCUGAAACUCAAAGGAAUUGACGGGGGCCCGCACAAGCGGUGGAGCAUGUGGUUUAAUUCGAAGCUACGCGAAGAACCUUACCAGGUCUUGACAUACUAUGCAAAUCUAAGAGAUUAGACGUUCCCUUCGGGGACAUGGAUACAGGUGGUGCAUGGUUGUCGUCAGCUCGUGUCGUGAGAUGUUGGGUUAAGUCCCGCAACGAGCGCAACCCUUAUUAUCAGUUGCCAGCAUUAAGUUGGGCACUCUGGUGAGACUGCCGGUGACAAACCGGAGGAAGGUGGGGAUGACGUCAAAUCAUCAUGCCCCUUAUGACCUGGGCUACACACGUGCUACAAUGGAUGGUACAACGAGUUGCGAACUCGCGAGAGUAAGCUAAUCUCUUAAAGCCAUUCUCAGUUCGGAUUGUAGGCUGCAACUCGCCUACAUGAAGUCGGAAUCGCUAGUAAUCGCGGAUCAGCAUGCCGCGGUGAAUACGUUCCCGGGCCUUGUACACACCGCCCGUCACACCAUGAGAGUUUGUAACACCCAAAGUCGGUGGGGUAACCUUUUAGGAACCAGCCGCCUAAGGUGGGACAGAUGAUUAGGGUG
rnacentral:rRNA from 3 species